UAGCCAUCCAGAGCGGCCGAGAGAUCUGGCUCGUCGACGCCGCAGCAACCAUCCACUGGCUCCCUUCAGGGAGACGGAACGGAACGGUGCUAAUGCCAGAACCGAUGGAGA
rnacentral:ncRNA from 2 species